UACAGAGGUCUCAAGCGUUGUUCGGAUUCAUUGGGCGUAAAGGGUGUGUAGGUGGCGCCGUAAGUCGGGUGUGAAAUUUCGGAGCUUAACUCCGAAACUGCAUUCGAUACUGCGGUGCUUGAGGGACUGGGAGAGGAGACUGGAAAUUUACGGGUGUAGCGGUGAAAUGCGUAGAUAUCGUAAGGGAAGACCAGUGGCGAAGGCGGGUCUCGUGGACAGUUCCUGACGCUGAGGCACGAAGGUCCAGGGGAGCAAACGGG
rnacentral:rRNA from 1 species